rnacentral:rRNA from 1 species
UUCGUAGGCGGUGCGGUAAGUCGGAAGUGAAAUCUCUGGGCUUAACCCAGAGGCUGCUUUCGAAACUGCCGUGCUAGAGUGCGGGAGAGGCGAGUGGAAUUGCAGGUGUAGCGGUGAAAUGCGUAGAUAUCUGCAGGAACACCCGUGGCGAAGGCGGCUCGCUGGACCGCAACUGACGCUGAGGAACGAAAGCUAGGGGAGCAAACA